ACUGGCAGGCUAGAGUCUUGUAGAGGGGGGUAGAAUUCCAGGUGUAGCGGUGAAAUGCGUAGAGAUCUGGAGGAAUACCGGUGGCGAAGGCGGCCCCCUGGACAAAGACUGACGCUCAGGUGCGAAAGCGUGGGGAGCAAACAGGAUUAGAUACCCUGGUAGUCCACGCCGUAAACGAUGUCGAUUUGGAGGUUGUGCCCUUGAGGCGUGGCUUCCGGAGCUAACGCGUUAAAUCGACCGCCUGGGGAGUACGGCCGCAAGGUUAAAACUCAAAUGAAUUGACGGGGGCCCGCACAAGCGGUGGAGCAUGUGGUUUAAUUCGAUGCAACGCGAAGAACCUUACCUGGUCUUGACAUCCACAGAACUUUCCAGAGAUGG
rnacentral:rRNA from 2 species